UACAGAGGGGGGCCAGCGUUAUUCGGAAUUAUUGGGCGUAAAGGGCGCGUAGGCGCCAUGCGUGUCUUCCGUGAAAUCCCUCGGCUUAACUGAGGACGUGCGGAAGAAAACUGCAAGGCUCGAGUCCGGGAGAGGGGGGAUGGAAUUCCCAGUGUAACGGUGAAAUGCGUAGAUAUUGGGGAGGAACACCGGUGGCGAAGGCGGCCCCCUGGACCGGUACUGACGCUGAGGCGCGAAAGCGUGGGUAGCAAAUGGG
rnacentral:rRNA from 1 species